rnacentral:rRNA from 1 species
AAAGGAAUAGACGGGGGCCCGCACAAGCAGCGGAGCGUGUGGUUUAAUUCGAUGCGACACGAAGAACCUUACCUAGGUUUGACAUGCAAGUAGUAGUGAAGCGAAAGCGGAACGACCCUUCGGGGAGCUUGCACAGGUGCUGCAUGGCUGUCGUCAGCUCGUGUCGUGAGAUGUUGGGUUAAGUCCCGCAACGAGCGCAACCCUUGUCGCUAGUUACACGUGUCUAGCGAUACUGCCGGUCUUAAACCGGAGGAAGGUGGGGAUGACGUCAAGUCAGCAUGGCCUUUAUAUCUAGGGCUACACACACGCUACAAUGGGCAGUACAAUGGGCAGCAAAGGGGCGACCUGGAGCGAAUCUCAUCAAAGCUGUUCGUAGUUCGGAUUGUAGGCUGCAACUCGCCUACAUGAAGCUGGAGUUGCUAGUAAACGCAGGUCAGCUAUACUGCGUUGAAUACGUUCCCGGGCCUUGUACACACCGCCCGU